rnacentral:rRNA from 1 species
AUUGAACGCUGGCGGAAUGCUUUACACAUGCAAGUCGAACGGCAGCACGGGGGCAACCCUGGUGGCGAGUGGCGAACGGGUGAGUAAUACAUCGGAACGUGCCCAGUCGUGGGGGAUAACUACUCGAAAGCGUAGCUAAUACCGCAUACGAACUCUGGUUGAAAGCGGGGGAUCGCAAGACCUCGCGCGAUUGGAGCGGCCGAUGGCAGAUUAGGUAGUUGGUGAGGUAAAGGCUCACCAAGCCGACGAUCUGUAGCUGGUCUGAGAGGACGACCAGCCACACUGGAGCUGAAAACCGGCCCAGACUCCUACGGGAGGCAGCAGUGGGGAAUUUUGGGCAAUGGGCGCAAGCCUGAUCCAGCCAUUCCGCGUGCAGGAUGAAGGCCCUCGGGUUGUAAACUGCUUUUGUACGGAACGAAACGGUCCUGGUUAAUACCCGGGGCUAAUGACGGUACCGUAAGAAUAAGCACCGGCUAACUACGUG